rnacentral:rRNA from 1 species
UACGGAGGGGGCGAGCGUUAUUCGGAAUUAUUGGGCGUAAAGGGCGCGUAGGCGGCUUUCUAAGUCAAAGGUGAAAUCCCUCGGCUCAACUGAGGAACUGCCUUUGAAACUGGAAGGCUUGAGGCCGGGAGGGGGUAGCGGAAUUCCCAGUGUAGCGGUGAAAUGCGUAGAUAUUGGGAGGAACACCAGUGGCGAAGGCGGCUACCUGGACCGGUUCUGACGCUGAUGCGCGAAAGCGUGGGGAGCGAACAGG